AGCACAAAUAACUAUAUGGAAAAAUACAAUACUAAAACUCUAUUAGCAGUACAUAUACAUACCUUUAUUCCACAGUAACAAAGUCCUGCAAAAACCAAGAAGCAGAACCCCUCAACUCAACCAUAGGAUGAAUUCGUAAACCUUAGUGACUCGAAGAGCAAAGAGGCUUUCCUUGUCAGCGGAGAAGAAUGGUGCAAAAGAAAAAUCUUACUCCAUAUUAUCAAGAGAGACAUGUCCAUUGAGCGUACCAUUCUUGACCCUUUCCUGACCUUAUCCGCAACGUAAUGCUCUUUCCUUAAUAAUUCUGAAAUUGAACAAAAUAUCAAUUUAGUUAUAUACAAUAGCAGGAAAACACCUGCAUCAACUCGUGGAGUUUUUUGUAUUUUACACCUAGUGUGUGCUUACAGCAAUUUGCACAAUAUUCUUUUGUCUGAUUUACUUAAUACUCUAUUCGUAGCUUAGGCCUGGCUUAUGCGAUGUCAGAAUUGCUUAAAUUUCUUUACAGGGAAGAGCUUGAUCGAAAUUUUAAAACUUGGGAAGACUUAUGUUGUUU
rnacentral:lncRNA from 1 species